UACGUAGGUGACCAGCGUUGUCCGGAUUUACUGGGCGUAAAGAGCGCGCAGGCGGUCGUUCAAGUCGAGUGUGAAAGCCCCCGGCUCAACUGGGGAGGGUCACUCGAUACUGAUCGACUGGAAGGCAGGAGAGGGAAGCGGAAUUCCCGGUGUAGUGGUGAAAUGCGUAGAUAUUGGGAGGAACACCAGUGGCGAAGGCGGCUACCUGGACCGGUUCUGACGCUGAGGCGCGAAAGCGUGGGUAGCAAACAGG
rnacentral:rRNA from 1 species